rnacentral:rRNA from 1 species
AUUGACAAAAAGUAAUAGCUAUAGAGUCACGAAUGGGGGCGAGCUAAGCAAGAUAUGUUUUGUGUACCAAAUACGUUGUAUAGUAUUUAGAAAAUAUGUGUUUAGGAGUGAUAGGCCUUUCAAGCUCUCUGAUAACUUGAUUCAUAUGAAAGGUAUUAAGUACAUAAAUAUAUUUAAAAAGUUAAGCUUUUAAAUAUUUAUUAAAAAUAUUGUUUGAUUGAACAUAGUAUAAUAGCUAGUUAUUAUUAAACUUAAUAUUACAACAUACGUUUUUAUAAUAAAUAAUAUGACAAUUAAGAUUAUCUUUACUAGUUGAAAAUGUUAAUAUUAGUAGUAUAAGUAAAUGUAUUAAAGGAACUCGGCAAAUAACUUCUCAACUGUUUAUCAAAAACAUAGCUAUAUGAAUUAAUAUAUAGUUAUUUCUGCUCCAUGAUUAUUAAAUAGCCGCAGUACUCUGACUGUGCAAAGGUAGCAUAAUCAGUUGGCUCUUAAUUAGGGUCUGGUAUGAAAGAAAAUAUGGGUAGUAACUGUCUUAAUACAUUUAUUUGAAAUUAGUAAGCAAGUGCAAAUACUUGCAUGCAUAAAAAAGACGAGAAGACCCUAGAAACUUGAAAUAAGUUUUGUUGGGGCGACAAAAUUACAUUUAACUAAUUUUAUAAGACAUGACAUGAAGUUGAAAGAGUAAGUUACUCUAGGGAUAACAGCAUAAUUUUAAUAGUUUGUGACCUCGAUGUUGGACUAGGUAUUAUAUCUUUAAGGCAAAGUUAUAAAAGGCUCUGUUCGAGCGAAUACACCUACAUGAUCUGAGUUCAGACCGG